rnacentral:rRNA from 1 species
AUCUGCGUGCCANACAGAUCUNUCUUUCGAAUCUGAGGUGCCGUUGNNUUGNNGUNNNCUGGGCACUCGAAGGGGACUGCCAGCGAUGAGUUGGAGGAAGGUGGGGAUGACGUCAAGUCAUCAUGGCCUUUAUAUCCAGGGCGACACACGUGCAACAAUGGCCGGUACAGACGGACGCAAGACCGUAAGGNGGAGCAAAUCCGAGAAAGCCGGUCUCAGUUCGGAUUGAGGUCUGCAACUCGACCUCAUGAAGUCGGAAUCGCUAGUAAUCGCGUAUCAGAACGACGCGGUAAAUACGUUCCCGGGCCUUGUACACACCGCCCGUCACACCACGAAAGUCUGUUGUACCCGAAGUCGGUGUCCGAACCCCGCAGGGGGACGAAGCCGCCCAAGGUAUGGCCGAUGAUUGGGGUGAAGUCGUAACA